CAUGCCGUAAACGAUGAGUGCUAAGUGUUGGGAGGUUUCCGCCUCUCAGUGCUGCAGCUAACGCAUUAAGCACUCCGCCUGGGGAGUACGACCGCAAGGUUGAAACUCAAAGGAAUUGACGGGGGCCCGCACAAGCGGUGGAGCAUGUGGUUUAAUUCGAAGCAACGCGAAGAACCUUACCAGGUCUUGACAUCCUUUGACCACCUAAGAGAUUAGGUUUUCCCUUCGGGGACAAAGAGACAGGUGG
rnacentral:rRNA from 2 species